UGGGGAAUAUUGGUCAAUGGGGGGAACCCUGAACCAGCAACGCCGCGUGAACGAAGAAGGCCCUCGGGUUGUAAAGUUCUUUGACAGGGGAAGAUAAUGACGGUACCCUGAAAACAAGCUCCGGCUAACUACGUGCCAGCAGCCGCGGUAAUACGUAGGGAGCGAGCGUUAUCCGGAUUUACUGGGUGUAAAGGGCGCGUAGGCGGGACAGCAAGUCAGUGGUGAAAUAUCGGGGCUCAACCCCGGGGCUGCCAUUGAAACUGUUGUUCUUGAGUGAUGGAGAGGCAGGCGGAAUUCCCGGUGUAGCGGUGGAAUGCGUAGAUAUCGGGAGGAACACCAGUGGCGAAGGCGGCCUGCUGGACAUUAACUGACGCUGAGGCGCGAAAGCGUGGGGAGCAAACAGG
rnacentral:rRNA from 1 species